rnacentral:rRNA from 1 species
UACAGGGGGUGCAAACGUUGCUCGGAAUCAUUGGGCGUAAAGCGCACGUAGGCGGUCUGUUAUGUCGGAUGUGAAAGCCCUUGGCUUAACUGAGGAAGUGCAUCCGAAACUGGCAGGCUAGAGUACUAAAGAGGGUCGCGGAAUUCCCGGUGUAGAGGUGAAAUUCGUAGAUAUCGGGGAGGAACACCAGUGGCGAAGGCGGCGACCUGGGCCAAUAUUGACGCUGAGGUGCGAAAGCGUGGGGAGCAAACAGG